CUACCGAUCCUUUCAUUAUUUGAUACUCAAACGUAACGUAUACAAUAGAGAGAGAUCCAAAAUGGGAAAAAGUUACAAUACAUACACGAACACUAGCUACUAGCAAAUUUUAUAUGUUGUGUUUUCAAUUUUGUGAGAUGUCUCAUCUCCAAAAGAAAUGCUGGACAGAAUCUUGCCAGGAAAGCACAAGCAUGAGCAUGACCAAAAUCCCAGCGAGUCCCCAUGACGAAGCCCCAAUUCUGAGCACCCAAGAAGGAUCGGGAGAUGGAAAAACUGAUCCUCUCUCCAUUGAAGAAGAAGAAGUAGUAGUUUUGAUGGCAAUUAUAAGGACAGCUAGAACCAUGGGAAGAACAAAGCUAGAGUUCCAAUAUUUUGUCUCAUUAUGAAAUAUUGUAUGGUGGUGAUAACGAUGAUCGUUUUUUAUUGUCACAUAGAGUGGCGACAAAACUAUAGCUGAUACCAAAGCCAACCCCAUGGCGACUGCUCUUUGUGAUGAUGAGUUUUGGCCUGCGUAGUUGUAUGCAUUAGCAGCCAUUGAAAGAAGUGAAUUAAUUAAAUUAACUCUCUCAAUCCUGCAGGACUACUAUAUAUAAGAAAACCAACUUGGUGAUGUGGAGAAAAUUGAUGGGGAGUUUUAUAGGAGGAAGAAGAGAGAACAAGUGAAGGAAUCUAGUUGUAAAGCUUGUGAUUUGAUGACAAAAGUGAUGGAGUCAUCAUAGACAUAGCCGUCCAAAAAGUGAAAAAAGGAGAUGAGUUAUUUGGAGAAAAAGGCAAGAGAAAGGUGAGAAAGCAUAGGUAAAUGAAGAAAAAGGAUUGGAAUUCUUUGGAAGUAAGGUAUCUUUAAUUUGGUGUGUUCAUACAUGUCUACAAGGCACUGCUAGCUGGAAUCACUUUUGUGAGAUACAUACAUACAUACAUACAUACAUACAUAUACUGCCUCAUUGCGUGGCCUGUGUCUUAUUGUGCUUGGAAGUAUAUGUUUAUAAAUGCAUGUUGGUUUGUUCGCAAAACAAAUGUAUAUUAGUGUAUUAUUAUUAUUAUUAUUAUUAUCCGUAUGAUAUACACAAGAAAGUAAGUGAAAAAUACGCAUUAUAGCUUAUAUCCGUUUAAGUUUUGGUAUGCAUAUUUAUAUAUACAUAUACUUACGCCUAAUACAUGAGAGCUCAUUUAUACAAUUCGUGUACUGUAUUAUCACAAAGAGAGUCUUCCAUGCUCCUUGGAGCACCAUAUAAGUCACUAACAAAAGGAGUUUCAUUUUUCCAUUCUUUCUUCACCAAUGGUUUCUCUCUCAUUCCAACUUAAAUUGUCACCAAAAUCAUGUGCUGGCAGCAAGAAAAAUAAUUUCAUUUUUUUUUUUUGGCAGAGGGAGAAAUGAAACAUUUGGGUUCCCUUAUAAAUUGUUUCUACUACUUGAGUGAGUCUCUCAUAUUAUGUUUAAUAUCUCAUUUAAUACUUAAUCUUUUGUUAAUUAUUUGUCUAACAUUUUUUUCUUUUUUUUAACAAACUUGAUCUCACUCUCUCUAAAAUCAAAUAUACUUUCCGAGAAUAUACAACUAACUAUACCUACCUUAAAAGCUCAUGACCUAAUCUCUUUUUGAGUAAAUUUUAUUAACGUGAUUAAUAGUUAAUAAAUUAAAAAGUAAAAAUAAUUACAUUUUAUUAUAUAUUAACAUUAAAAUACAUGUGUCACAAAAUUUAUAAAAAAUCAGGAGAGUUUAAAUUAGGAGAGAAUCCUAAUUUAAAAAAUAAAAAAAAACAUGUCACGGUUGUAAUAAUGAUUAAUUGACUAUUAAUUGAUCAGCUUAUUUUGCUGACCCCUCUUGACAUUUUAAUGGAUAUUAAAUUGUUAAUUUGUUAUUAUUUUGUUUUUGGCAGUUUCUAAAGACGUACAGGAACCUGCAUAAUGCAUAAGGAUGGCAAUGGGGAGGGGAGGGGAGGGGACCAAUCUCCCCGAUAUUUUGCAUAUGUCCCCGUCCCCUCCCCAUCCCCGUCAAAAUUAUUUAAGAGAAUCCUCAUCCCCUCCCCGAAUAAUAACAGGGGAUCCCUGAGGGUCCCCGAUCCCCGAAUAACUAAUACAUUUUUUUUAUUUUCGAUUUUGAGUUAAUCAUAUUAAAAUAAAAAAUACAAACAUCAAUCGAGAGACUCACCCUUCUGGUGUAAAGUGUAAACAAUCGUGACAAUCCACACCGUCGUCGGCUCCCCUCUCUUUGCUCUCUCUCGUCUCUUGCCCGCCAGGUUUAGGCUCCAUUUGGUACAGCUUAUUAAAUAGAGCUUAUAACAAUAGAGCUUAUAGCAGUAGAGUUUAUACCAAUAAAAUUUUUGGAUAAAAAGUCAUUGGGUAUUUAAUUGUUAAUAAAAAAAAUAUUUUUAAAUCAUUAAACUGUAUGAUAUUUUUUUUAUUAUAUAUUUUUUAGAUAAGCUCUUUAACUUUUACUUCCAAAAGUUCAAAUUUUGAGCUUUUACUAGUAGAGGUAAAUUAGUUUAUUUAAGCUAAAAAAACUCUACUAAAAAAAUAACCAAACAUCAUAAAAUUUUUUAAAAAGUACUUAUGCGAUUAAAUAAGCACUUAUGACUCUUAAAUAAGCCAUACCAAACAGUCACUUAAUAUAUUUUGUCUAUCUUUUUUUACUAUUUCACGAGGGGAAGAGAGGGCUGGAAUGUUUGGGCCGUAACGACCAAUGGGCCUUUGGCCCAAUAACGUAAUUCGUGAAAACCAGUUGAAAAAUAUAAUGAAAUAGAGGAGAAAAUAAUAAUUGAAUUACUACUACCGAUCCUUUCAUUAUUUGAUACUCAAACGUAACGUAUACAAUAGAGAGAGAUCCAAAAUGGGAAAAAGUUACAAUACAUACACGAACACUAGCUACUAGCAAAUUUUAUAUGUUGUGUUUUCAAUUUUGUGAGAUGUCUCAUCUCCAAAAGAAAUGCUGGACAGAAUCUUGCCAGGAAAGCACAAGCAUGAGCAUGACCAAAAUCCCAGCGAGUCCCCAUGACGAAGCCCCAAUUCUGAGCACCCAAGAAGGAUCGGGAGAUGGAAAAACUGAUCCUCUCUCCAUUGAAGAAGAAGAAGUAGUAGUUUUGAUGGCAAUUAUAAGGACAGCUAGAACCAUGGGAAGAACAAAGCUAGAGUUCCAAUAUUUUGUCUCAUUAUGAAAUAUUGUAUGGUGGUGAUAACGAUGAUCGUUUUUUAUUGUCACAUAGAGUGGCGACAAAACUAUAGCUGAUACCAAAGCCAACCCCAUGGCGACUGCUCUUUGUGAUGAUGAGUUUUGGCCUGCGUAGUUGUAUGCAUUAGCAGCCAUUGAAAGAAGUGAAUUAAUUAAAUUAACUCUCUCAAUCCUGCAGGACUACUAUAUAUAAGAAAACCAACUUGGUGAUGUGGAGAAAAUUGAUGGGGAGUUUUAUAGGAGGAAGAAGAGAGAACAAGUGAAGGAAUCUAGUUGUAAAGCUUGUGAUUUGAUGACAAAAGUGAUGGAGUCAUCAUAGACAUAGCCGUCCAAAAAGUGAAAAAAGGAGAUGAGUUAUUUGGAGAAAAAGGCAAGAGAAAGGUGAGAAAGCAUAGGUAAAUGAAGAAAAAGGAUUGGAAUUCUUUGGAAGUAAGGUAUCUUUAAUUUGGUGUGUUCAUACAUGUCUACAAGGCACUGCUAGCUGGAAUCACUUUUGUGAGAUACAUACAUACAUACAUACAUACAUACAUAUACUGCCUCAUUGCGUGGCCUGUGUCUUAUUGUGCUUGGAAGUAUAUGUUUAUAAAUGCAUGUUGGUUUGUUCGCAAAACAAAUGUAUAUUAGUGUAUUAUUAUUAUUAUUAUUAUUAUCCGUAUGAUAUACACAAGAAAGUAAGUGAAAAAUACGCAUUAUAGCUUAUAUCCGUUUAAGUUUUGGUAUGCAUAUUUAUAUAUACAUAUACUUACGCCUAAUACAUGAGAGCUCAUUUAUACAAUUCGUGUACUGUAUUAUCACAAAGAGAGUCUUCCAUGCUCCUUGGAGCACCAUAUAAGUCACUAACAAAAGGAGUUUCAUUUUUCCAUUCUUUCUUCACCAAUGGUUUCUCUCUCAUUCCAACUUAAAUUGUCACCAAAAUCAUGUGCUGGCAGCAAGAAAAAUAAUUUCAUUUUUUUUUUUUGGCAGAGGGAGAAAUGAAACAUUUGGGUUCCCUUAUAAAUUGUUUCUACUACUUGAGUGAGUCUCUCAUAUUAUGUUUAAUAUCUCAUUUAAUACUUAAUCUUUUGUUAAUUAUUUGUCUAACAUUUUUUUCUUUUUUUUAACAAACUUGAUCUCACUCUCUCUAAAAUCAAAUAUACUUUCCGAGAAUAUACAACUAACUAUACCUACCUUAAAAGCUCAUGACCUAAUCUCUUUUUGAGUAAAUUUUAUUAACGUGAUUAAUAGUUAAUAAAUUAAAAAGUAAAAAUAAUUACAUUUUAUUAUAUAUUAACAUUAAAAUACAUGUGUCACAAAAUUUAUAAAAAAUCAGGAGAGUUUAAAUUAGGAGAGAAUCCUAAUUUAAAAAAUAAAAAAAAACAUGUCACGGUUGUAAUAAUGAUUAAUUGACUAUUAAUUGAUCAGCUUAUUUUGCUGACCCCUCUUGACAUUUUAAUGGAUAUUAAAUUGUUAAUUUGUUAUUAUUUUGUUUUUGGCAGUUUCUAAAGACGUACAGGAACCUGCAUAAUGCAUAAGGAUGGCAAUGGGGAGGGGAGGGGAGGGGACCAAUCUCCCCGAUAUUUUGCAUAUGUCCCCGUCCCCUCCCCAUCCCCGUCAAAAUUAUUUAAGAGAAUCCUCAUCCCCUCCCCGAAUAAUAACAGGGGAUCCCUGAGGGUCCCCGAUCCCCGAAUAACUAAUACAUUUUUUUUAUUUUCGAUUUUGAGUUAAUCAUAUUAAAAUAAAAAAUCCAAAUAAAAGUAAAGUUAGAAAUAUAUCUUACAUUAAUAUCCAUUACAAAAGUCACAUACAUUAAAUUAGUAAGUAACGCAGUAUGCAAGGGAUAUAAACUAUCAUGAACAAAUUAAUAGGCUAAUACAAAAUUAUUACAAAUAAAAUCAAAUUUAGAUUCAAAAUUAACUUUUCAAUGGUGGCGUGGGCACUUUAUAAAUGUGGACUAUUCCCUUUACGGCACAAUAGUUAAGUCGAAACAAAUCAAGAGCAAAUAUUAGAUUAGAUUAGAUAUUAAAAUUGUGAUUUGCUGUGGGCAAUUAUAACAUCUAAAAAUAAAUAAAAAAAUAGAUUUAAGUUUAAAAUAUUUAAUGAAUAUUAAAAUUAAAACAAAAGUUUUAGGCUAAUAGAAUUUGUCCGGUCUUUUUAAUGUCCUAAAUAAAAAUUUAGGAUUUUAAUUAGUUAAUUAGGCCUAAAAAUUUAAUAAUAUAAAUAUUUUGAUAUUUUUUAUUUUUACCAAUACUUAUAAUUUUAUAACUCAAAUUUUAUUAUUUAUUUACUAGUAAUUUAAAAAAAAAAUUAAAUAAAAAAUUAAAAUGGGGAAAUGGGUAGGGGAUGGGGAUUCCACCUCAUCCCCGUCCCCGCCCCAAAUAAGAAAUUGGGUAAAAAAAAUUUCAUGUCCCUUCCCCGAAUAAGAAAUUGGGUAUGAAAUUAUUCUCAUACCCUCCUCGAAUGGGAAAAAUCUCCGAGGGUACCCGUCCCUCUGGAGAUUUUUGCCAUCCCUAAUAAUGCAUAUAUAUUUAAUGACAGCUUUUUAUGUAGGUAACAGUCUUAAUCUCUUAAUUAUCUUUAAAGCUCAAUUAUUUGUAAUUUGACAACAAAGUCAUUGUCGAUAGAAUAUUAGAAUCUAAUCUUACAUAUUAAAAAAAAAAAUUAAACAUGAGAUAAAUCUCGUCACUAUAAUUAUAUGAAUUUUGAUUUUUAGUACACUUUGAAUGUAUUAUAAAUAGAUUGUAAUAUAAAUUUAAAAAUGAAAAACAAGACAUUUUUUUUCCUUGGUUAUCAAAUCGAGUGUUACUGCUAUUCAAGAAACUACGAUUACUGUCCAUAUCAAAUCCCAAAUACAAUCAAUCUACAGUUAUUUCAAUUAAUCUCUAUCUGUCUCCUUGUCGGUUUUAACAACAUUAUUCUAUAAUUAUAUAGCAUUUGCAUCAGAUCCAUUGGGUUUCUAUUCAUCAAAAUUCAGGUCAAAAUUACACAAAGCAUCCCUUCAGUAAAUUGAAUCUGAUGAUCAAUUAACGGAAAACAAAAAAAAAAUUCUCCAUGGACUCAAAAAAAAUUUGGCACUUCUUCUCCUACUUUUCCACAAUACAGAUAAUUUUCCGAUACCUUUUUCUCAUCAUUCAGAAUUUAAGUCGAUUUCCGAAGUACCCUUUUAUCCGAAACGCCAUCUCCGAUUUGUUUCAUGCUCCGGUCAUCGUCACAUUCAUGGAUACAAUGCUGUUACUGUAUUUCCAUCUAUGCAAUCUCUCUCCAUGCACCGUUGAUAUAGAUGAUCAAACCACAAUUCAUUUUUUCACCCCAAAUCACAGAAAGUUCAACAAGCCAAAUCUGGUCAUAAUCCAUGGCUACGGCGGAACGUCACGCUGGCAAUUUGUACAUCAGGUCCGUCCAUUAUCGAACAGAUUUAAUCUGUACGUACCCGAUUUAAUAUUUUUCGGAAAGUCAUAUUCUGCUGGGGCUGACAGGACUGAAGUUUUCCAAGCAAAGUGUUUGGUUGAAGGGUUAAAAAGACUGGGAGUGGGCAGGUUCUCGGUUUACGGUAUUAGCUACGGUGGGAUCGUGGCGUAUCAUAUGGCCGAGAUGAAUCCUCUGGAAAUAGACAAGGUUGUGAUUGUGAGCACUGCUAUCGGCUACACCGAGGAACAAAAGGAAAGGCAGCUGACGAGAAUUGGUAGAAGGAUCUCAGGAUUUCUGGUUCCUGAAAGCCCACAAGAUCUACGGUUCCUAGUGAGUUUAUCAAUGUACCGUAAUGAUUUCCUUAAAUGGGUCCCCGACUUUUUCUUCGGUCAGUUCAUCAAUGUGAGUUCAUUUUUUCUGAUGUAACUUAUCUUUUAAUCCCAUUUAACCACAAUCCAUAAUUCACAAAGUGUUUUUUUGAAAGUAUUUUGAGUCCAAUCAAAACCCUUAACCCAUGAUUAAAAAUUUUCAAUUAGGCGAUGUAUAAAACUCACAGGAAGGAGCGGUUGGAGAUGAUAGAGCACUUGCUUACUAAAGAUGCAGAUCCAAACAUUCCCAUUUUAACUCAGGUAAAAGCUUUCUCUUAUGAACUUCGAGCAGAAUAACUUAUUAAAUGUAAUUUCGUAUCACGAAACAACUCAAGACUGGCAUUGUGCUGAAGAGUUCUUACCACUCGACCAAUGACUUAGGUAUGCAUAGACGUACUGUUUAUUGUGUUUGAGCUAAUUAAGUGCUCCUAUACAAAGGACUUUUUGAGUAAAAGCCUCUGUAGUUGCCAUACUUGCUAGCUCGUGUUGCUUCAUGAAGCACGCCCAAUUGCUUUCUAAUCGAUCUACUUAAAAGACCUUUUCACUGUGUAACUAAACAUUACAAUCAAAACACGCAAGUCUUUUUUAUUUAUUUGAUGAUACAAAAUCGCUGGCUGGCUAUUCAUUCCAUCAAAAUCAUUGUUUAUGACCUUAUGCAUAAAUCGACCUCACUAGUUACUAAUUAACAUUUCGCUUGGGGUGAAGGAAACACUGAUAAUUUGGGGAGAUCAAGACAAAGUCUUUCCAUUAGAAUUUGCCCAUCAGCUGCACAGGUGUAUAUAUAACAAUUAAUUUGUUGUCUUCCAUCAUUUCAAUUGUUACCUUAAGAUUUAUUACCAGUUUUGAAUUAUAUAUAUAUCUUGACAAUUUUUUAUGAAUAAUAUUUCAGGCACUUGGGAUCAAAAUCAAAGUUGGUGAUCCUCAAGAACACAGGCCAUGCUGUAAAUAUGGAAUCACCUUGUGAACUCAAUAUUCUGAUAAAAACAUUUGUUUUCGGUCAUUCCUAUCAUAUGCUUGAAGUCUAAUAUUUUGUCAACAUAUAUAGGCUUCAAAUAGAUUGUUGUUCAUUCAAACAUUUAUAUAAUCUAGCAGCAGCAGUAGUAGUAGUAGUAGUGAUAUGAUUUCAACAAAUGAAUUUUUAGAUGGUCUAUCGAUUGGCUAUGAUUUAGGGUUAAUUUGUGAAUAGUAAUUAAGUUUCUAAUAUUGUUCUUAAGAUCGAUUAGUCCUUCUUGUUUGUACACAAACAAACUCAAAAUGAGUCAACUAAUUGCAAAAUCAACAAGGGUUAUACUUAUACAAGAGAGGGAAAAAAAAAAGCGAAAGGAAAUAGUAAGACGCACAUACACGACAAGUCGUAUAAAGUAAAAAUUACAAACGACAAUUACUUCAAAAUAAUACCACGUGGACGGUAUGUCGUGGAAAAGAAAUACAGAUAAACACAUCGAUCGACAAUCCAAAGAGGCAAAACCAAAAUAAACGACAAACAUACUAAAUAUGUCCGUCGGUUAUUAAGAUUAAGAAAAAUUAGUGCUAGUCGCCGACACGUCGUCCCGUAACCCUUGCUGUCGCUGAAUGAAUAUUGAAUAUCCUCUGUGAACUCUCUCUCUCCAUUCAAAGCCUAAAUUCUCGCUUUCUUCUUUUUUCGCGAUAAAAUGUUAAAAACCUUCUUCUCUCACGUUGCAAGCACGAGCACCAGCGCGACUCUCGUCAGGUGCUACUCGCGCGUCCUAAACCAGAUGUGAAGAGUGAAUUACCAAAAAUGUCCUUGCUCGAGCAACACCUAGCUUCGCUCUACCAGCUGGCGGUCUCCUUCGAUGGCGCCGUUUUGGGCGUAGCCCUUGCAUACACCGCCGUGCGUUCGUUCCUAGACUUCCGCUACACAUCCAACGCUCUAGGAAAAGUCCGGAACGCUCUGCAGCUCAAAGUCUCGGAUCUUCGAGAUCUGUUGGACGAGAAGCAAUCGCAGCCGUCCGAUCAAGAGCAGAAUAGCCGUCUCGUCAUUGUGCGGGGCCAAGUGGAAGCGAAAUCAGCCGUCGAUGGAAUAAACUGGAAGAACUUGAUGUACAGUAACGAUAUAUUGGUUUCUGAGAGCGGAGACAAAGCUGUUAUUCUUGAACAAAGAAAAGCUGUAUGUAUUUUUUAAUAUUCAGAAAUUUUAGUUGUUACGCACCUUCGAGAUAAAAUUACUUAUUUUUUUUCUUUUGCUUUAUUGUUAUUGAUUGAUUUAUUUUAUUUUGUUUUGUUUAUCUCUUGUAAGUUUGGUUCCUGUGUCAACUAGGGGUCUAAAUAAUGAAACCUAUAAAUAAGGUUGUUGAGUAGGAGAAGAUGUCAAGAAUGUUUAUGUAAUUUCUGAAGUUUAAUAACAGAGGUUAUCCCCCAUGAAUUUUCUUAUUUCUUCUUUCCUAGUUCUCUACCAUUAGUCAGUCUGUUGAGUUUUUGUGAAAUUAGAGCUGUUAGAAAUUGUAUGAAUUGUAGAAAAGUUGAUUUUUUCCCCCUAAAAUAGAGGGGUUUUCGUGUAUUAUUGCGGCUGAAGAUUGAAUAUUGAGAAUAAAAUAUGAAUUUUGAAAUGCACGCCGGGGGUUUGUUUGGUAUUGAUGUGCUGCUAGUGAAUGGAGUCACUGGCUGUCAAGUGAAAAAUGGGUGCAUGUUUUGUAAACAUUAGUUGUCAAAAUUAAGCAGAAGCCCCGUGAUUGUAAGCUUAUCUUUGAUUUUUAGGAAACCAUGGUGGUAGGGAAGCAAUUGAAUUAGGAAUUUUUUGCUUUUCUUUUGGGUGUUAUUCUUGUAUUUGCAUCUAUUAAUACAUAUAUCAUGUAUAUUAAACAUGCUUUUAUUUGUUUCUGAUGAAGUCCAUAUAUUGAUAACUUUCUUCUGAAGGAAUAAUGUGCAUGUGCUUCAUUGCUUAAAGUUUUUAUUGUUACAAGAUAUCGUGGAAACUUAUUCGGAUGCUUUUUGGGAUGAAUCUCUCUGAGAAAUUUUAUGUAUAGGAGUAGGGGAGCCACUAGGCAGCUGGCUAGCAUUUUCUGGAUCACUUCAAUGUUUUUCCUUUUGGGUCAAAUCUUGAUUAAGUGGAUAUCCUCGUGCUAUAAAUGCACUUUACUUGUAGUUUAUGUAGGAAAGAAUCCAUUUAUUUAUAUUCCACGAUUAAGCAACCCCGUUGGUUGUCAAAGGAGUAAAGUUGAAGUUUUUACUAUAUUUUGCAUGGUUAUUUGUUAAUUUAUAGAUAGCAAUUUGCUGAUUUCGUGGUUUAUAUGCUUGAAGUUUCUAUAUAAUGAAUGGAGGGACCUUUUUGGAUGGACUCCUGAUAUACGUGCCAUCUUUGGAAGAUCUUUGAAAACAAGCGAACCAUCCUCCUUAAGAACGGUAAAAUGAAUAACUCAUCUCAUGUAAUUUUAAAUGGAUACUUUUCUGUUUAAAUUAUUUUUAGCUUGAGAAAUGCAAUAGAAGCAAUCAAGCAAAAUAAUACUUGUUUUCAGUGUUGACAUAAAUAAAUAUGUUCAGUUUUCAUAGGUAUCCAUUUUAAUAUAUAUAUAUUUUUGGUUGAUUUCACAGGUUCCUUUUAUUCUUGUUGAAGGUGAUCGAUGGCCACAGUCUGAUUAUAUUAUUGUGAACAUGGAUGGCUCUAGACAGCCUUUACCUCUUACAACAGCUUAUCAACGGCUGGAACUUGCUAAUGUUUCUCCCUUUACAUUUCUUCAGGCAAUGUUUGGUCUAAAAUGCCCUGUAAGUUUAGAAGUUGAAUAGCCUUAAUGUCUUUCAGGUACUCUUUUUUGUUACAAAUUUAUGAAACCAUGUUUUCUUUGUUUUUGGAAGAUUGGUGUGCUUGCUGAGGAGAAAAUUCUUCCAUUAGGGAAGGAUAUCAGUGCUGUUGGUAUUUGCAAUUUCAAAAAUGGAAUUCCCGAGAUCAAGUCGUGCAAGGAUCUACCCUACUUUCUGUAAGAAGAUUUCUCUAACCGCCUCAGUUUUGUUGUGUAGUUUGAAAUGCAAAAAUUUGUAGCAUUUGAAUAAUUUUAAACCUAAAGACAGAUGAAGACUUUGUUGGGUUUCUGAAAGGCCAUUGGCCAGUCAGGUGACCUGGGGCGUAGACCAACUUUAGGGGAUUAAUUUGUGUUUUGGUCUUUUGCAGAAGCGAGAAGACUAAGGAUCAGAUGGUGGUAGAUCUUGUGAACAGGAGUAAAAUACUCUUUUGGAGUGGUAUUGUGCUUGGUUCACUAUCAAUUGGUAUCCUUGGAUAUGCUAUUGUCAGGUACAUUAGUUUUAACAUAAAAGAGUGUCUUUUCUUUUUCCUAUUAAAAUAAAGAAAUAAACAUAAAAGAUUGUCUUUCACCUUCUCUAUUCCAUCACAUAUUGCAAAUACAUGUGUUAAUUCAAAUUGUACAGAUCCGAAUUUACUCUUAUGAGCUUAUAUUGAUUCUUGCUGAUUUAGUUUUGGGGGGAAAAAAAUGUCUGUAGGAACUGGAACAGAUGGAAAGAUAGGCAACAGAGAAUGUCACGGCAACUAACCGAAACACCUAGUGAUGAUGCUGACUCUCAGAUAGGUUCAGAUGAAGAAGUAGCUGGAGAUAUUCCAGAUGGGCAGUUAUGUGUAGUCUGCUUGACGAGGCGGAGGAUCUCAGCUUUUAAUCCAUGUGGCCAUCUAGUUUGCUGUCGCCGAUGUGCUAUAUCUGUUGAACGUGAAGCAUCACCAAAGUGUCCUGUUUGUCGCAUGACAGUUCGGAGUUCAAUGCGGAUAUAUUUUUCUUGAGCAUUGAAAUUUAGGGGUUGGUGCUUUUUGUUUGUGGUUGGGAAUUUGCAUUCCUCAAAGAUACACUCAUGGAUUAGUCAAUGGGUGAUUUUUGUGAUUGCUAGUAAAUAUUUUUGUACAUUUUGAGAACGAGAAAGCAGUAGCGAAUGUAAAAGAUCGUACGUUUAUAGCUUUAUCCUUUUCAUAGCUGUAGAUACAAGGGGGGAAAAAUUAACAGAAAGUAGUAGUUGACAUUCUAACUGUCUUCUACUUUCACAUUCAACUUCCACAAUGAACAAAAGGAAACAGGCUGCCCUUUCCACCAUAACUCAAUGCACCCAUCUCUCUCUUCAACUCUCGUCUCCCAGCUAUUGUCGUACUUCCUCAACAAAGCUCUGCCUCCAUCGAUGGCAUCCUCGCCAAAAACGUCUCCAACAAACCCAACUCCUCUCAUUCUAUCACACCAUUUGUCUUUCCCUUCGUUCAUCUCUGCCCUAUUCGUCAAAGCCUUUGCUGCCUCUCCUUCCAUUACCCUCCUUUCUUCGCUCUCCCGGCCUUUAAACGCUGCGCUUGUUGAGUCCAAAAAUCUCCAUAAGUACUCCACUCGACGUGCAAAACCUGUUGCAAAGUCUCCACAGUUGCCACAGCUGCAAUCCAUAUUGUUUUCACUGAGUAUCACUCCUUUCGGCUCCAAACUUCUCAACACCCUCAAGAAUUCUGUUCUUUCAUCUGGGGUGCUGUGAUUCAAGUGAUGCAGUCUAAAUUGUGUGCAAACUAUUAAGGUUUCCUCCGGAGAUGUGCUGACCAUUUGCGAACUUAGAUCCUGUAAAGGGUGGCUUUCUAGUCUAUUGAUUUGUAAAUUUAUGUUCAUAGACUUGGCAAAACCAAGAAGUUGCAAGGAAUAAUUGUCACCCGGGGGACCAACUGAAAAGGGGGUCUCUGCGUUUUGAUCAUUUUCAGCCGUUGGAGCAAUGAUUGUCAGGCGAACAAGAGGAGGAGGACCGCCCGAUCUUCGAGUCAAGGCCUCAAGAAGCGUAGGCCAUUGCACUCCGUGAGAGACCCCAAUAUCAAGAAUGUGAAGAUUCUGCACCUGAUUGUGUCGAUCUUGAGCAAGAAUUUGGAGGAUGGACGAGUUUGCAAUGUUGUUGGGAAAGGCAAACCAAGGGCUCUUGUCAUAGAAAUUGAGCAAAGAUUUCUGGAAGAAUCUUGGUUCCGUAGAAGAAAAGGUUAAAGGGCCUGUUGAGGUGGUUGUGGUAGAGGAAGACGAUAAGGAGGAUAGAUGGUGUGUCAAGGCUCGGAGCCCAUGAGCCGCUAGCCGGUGGUUGGCAUCUCCGGUUGGUGAGGCAAGCUCAUGGAGGACAUACAGCAGGUGUUGCACGCGUGUCGGGUUGCCGGCCGUGAUAGCUGCGGCACAAGGAUUAAGCAACUGCUCUGCCCAUCUUCCUUCCUUGCUAUUACCGUUAUUGCCGUUAUUUCCUGUAGACUUGUUUGUGUUUUUCUUGUUACCAACCGACCUUUUAACAAUGACCCCUUCUUCAUUGCCUUCUUCAGUUUCAGUAAUCCGACGUCCCUGAUUCUUCCUCUGGUGAUGACUUUGAGAUGAUCUUGUAGGAGGGUCAUCGGUGUUUCUCCGUUUUUUUGAUGAAUCAGCCGGUGCUGGCGGACCAGGAACAACAGAAUCAGUAGGGCGUACACUAAUGGUACUGACAUUAGCGGUGGCUUCUGUGUUGUUGACAGUAGCAGCAGCACUACUAGCGCCAGUGUUGCCAAUGAGCUGUUCUGGGGCCAUAUCUUGACCUUGAUUCCACCAUUGAUAGUCAUCGAUCCCAUUAGCGUUGUACGGGUCAUCCAAGAACGAUGGAAGGAACGAUACCGACUCUUCCAACCAAUCUAAUAUGUGAUCUGCGGUGGGGUUUGGUUCUGGUUCUUCAAUAAUGGUCAUUGUUCUUGAGGAGAAGGAGCUAGCUAGGACAGGAGAGAGCCGAUAAAUUAUUGGUAUCAAGGUGUUUGAUAGUUCUGACCAAAAGAGUGUGAUGAUGAUGAUGCAUAUAGAUCACGGAGUUUUGUCUGUUGACCAGAGGGUGUUGAAAUAAUAAUGUCAAGAGGGCAUUGGUGCAACGUUAAUUUUGAGCAAAUGGGCCAAGGCAGGGAAUAUUGUAAGAAUUUGUGUGCUGUUUAUUUGGAGGAUCUGAUGUAAUUAUUGAGAAUGAAGUUCUGUCUUUUGCUCCGUAUGGUUAUUAACUUAUUAUCUUGUUCAAGUUUGUAUGUCAUGGUGGUUGAGUUCAACUUUCUUUGAAAAUGAGAGGAUUGUGAUGUUUUAUGAAUGGGUUGAAUUUUGAAUUGUCAAGAGACGGCAAACUCUUCAUUUCUCUAUACUAAUAAACUAUUUGAAGUCCCUGUUCGUUUCUGCCUUGUGCCUUUGGGACCAAAGGGACCUCAAUGUCACCAAAUUUUAGUACUAUAUCAUGACUUUUGGAUUAGUAAUACUAUAUUAUUAGUACUAUGAUUUGGAAUAAACUCUUGGUUAAUGAAUGAGUUCAUUCAUUUAGUUUUCUAUUUUAAAAAUAAAUAGAAAGAACUUGCAGGUUUCUGAUACACAAAUUUAUCAAUAUGAAUCCUAAAACUAGGGAUGGUAAACAGCGGGCCUGGGCCGGGCUUUUUCAAGCCCAUGUCCAGGCCCUCUGUUAGUUAAGUGUAUGGGCCGGGCCCAUUGCGGGCCUGGGUUGGGCCGGGCUUUAGUUAUUUAUUUAAAAAAUUUUAAAUUAUUGUAAAUUUGAAAUAAAUUAAUUAUCAACAAGUUAUUACAAUCAUAGAUAAAUUAAAGAAAAUCAAUAUUUCAAAUUAAAAUAAUAAAUAAAGUAAAUAAAAACUCAUAACUUUAAUUUUCUUUAAUACUGGAUUUUCUAAUUCAAACGCUCUCUUAAUUAAUUGACACAAAAGAGAGAAUUUAGUAUCAUAAUUUUAGUUUUUUUUAAUCAUAAUUGAUUUAUAAGUUAAUAAUUUAAGUUUUCUUUUUUAUUUUUAAAGUACUUUUCAAUUUUAAUUAUAUUAUUCUAAUUUAUAAAAUUAUUUUUUUAAAAAGUAGUGGGCUUGGGCUUUGUCCGGGCUUUUUUUCUUGGGCCAUUGUCCAGGCCCUUAUGGGUGAGGGCCGGGCCUAGACUGGGCCCGGGCAGGCUUGGGCUGGCCCGGGCUUUUUUGCCAACCCUACCUAAAACCAUGUGGUAGAGGUAUUAAUUGAUCAUGUUUUAUUAUUUAAUACAAUAAUAAUAAAAACCAUAACCACAUUAUAAAUAGGGUGAAAAUCCAAUAAUCCUCGUAAAUAAAAAAUAAUUUAAAAAAAUGGUAUGUGCACUGUGAAUGAUGGAUCUACUUAUCUAAAACAAAAACAAAAAAAAAUUGUAAUUUUUUUUAAUUUUCGAAUUGAUUUAUAAUGUUCAGAAAAAUUCUUAGUGCCGAUUUGGUAUAGCUUAUUUAAUGGUCAUAAGUGUUUAUUUAAUCUCAUAAACUCUUAUCAUAAUUUUUUUUGUUAUUGUUUGAUUGUUUUUGUAACAGAGCUGUUGAACCUUAAAUAAGUUAUUUUGCCUCUAUUAAUAAAAACUUAAAUUUUCGGCUUUUGGGAGUGAGGUUGAAAUUUUUUUUCAAAUGUUAAAAUAUUUAAAAUAUCCUCUACUUAUUUGACAAUUUUACUUUAUUCUUUUCAUAACAUAGUUUUAAAAAAACUUACCAAUAAAAAACCAAGCCACAUACUUGACAACUCUUGUUGUCCUAUUUUAUUGUUGUUCAUAUUUAAAAAAAAAAAAAUGGUCAGCGUUGAGAAAGAUUUAUGUUUUGCAAUAAAAUAUUAUAGUCUAUACCAGCUUUACAAUGUUUCAAUUUAUAGAAAUAAGUAAAGAGUAUUGCUACCUUAUUAAAAAUUGGUUCACAAAAUUUUUUGAUUCAAUUUUGAGAAAAGACCCAAUUGUGUUUUAUUUAUUUAUUUAUUUUUUUCAAUUUACACACUCUAAUAAUCAACCGCACACAAACACAAAUUAAAUAAUGUGGUGUAAUAAUGAAGAGUAAUAAAAGGAACUUUUCUUUUAAGUUUUUUAUGCUAGUGUGAAAAGCGAAAAAUACAUGCGAUAUUAACUGAUUAAUUCCUAAUAAAAGAAGGGAUGAUCUAGUCUUUUUAUAUAAUUUGUCGAGGUAACUUUCCAAAAGUUAAGAGAAACAAUUAUGCCAUGAUUUCUGGGAAUAAAUUCUAACUGCCCCACAACUCUUUAGAUAAAAAGAAUUUCAUCAACUUUGAUUGUUACAGAAGAAAUGAAGUGACGCAAAAGUGAAGCAAUAAAUGUAUUAUUCAACAAGCUUAAUAAGCUGUGUCUUAGCUUAGCCUAAGAUCAAAUCAAACUUACAGUGUAUGUGUAUAUAUAUAUAUAUAUAUUUACACCACCACUAACUAGAGCAUAUGUCCAACGACAAAAUCGAAAGAUCCAUGAUCACUAACUAGAGCAUAUAUCCAACGACAAAAUCGAAAAUUCCAAUCAUCGAUCUUCACCAUGUAUAUUGAAUUACUUGGGAGGAGAAUUUGCGUGCAUAAUCUAAUGAUGUUCAAAAUUCAAGCAAUAUAUGUGGUUAAGCACUUGCAGUACUAGACAGUUUGUUGUGUUAUAUUCUCACGAUAAAAUAUCGAGCAAAUGCCUCAUUUAUUUUUUUUUUCCUUUAAAUUUUUCAUGUUAAGGAAGAUAUUACCUAUUAUGUAAAUAAUAGGAGGUAAACCGUAUAUAUUGGUUUCAAUAGGAAAAAAAUUGACAAUCUACCUUCUAAAUACAAUAUAUUAUAAUUUAAUUUUUUUCAACCAUUGGGAAUUUCAAAGAUCCAAUCUUUUCACAUGCGAUCCUCGAUGAGAUGAUUCAAUUAGGCCCCUUUUUUUAUACUGAAUGAAUGGACGAAAGUUAUCACAUUAGGGAACCCACUCAACUAGGUGUUUGGCCUAAAUUGCAUUCCACUGUAGUUUAUAUAGUACAGUAUGACAUACAAAAUAUAAUGCACCAAAAUUAAGUGUUUUGACACAAAAUAAAAUAAUCGCUACUCACAACAGUUAAUAUAAAUUAAAAACCAGAGCACCUUAUAAUAUAGUCAAGUCUUAUUUAAAUGCCAGAUACCUGAAGCAUAGGGGAUACGAAGGUCUUUCUUUAAUCAAGUCAUAUUUUAAGUCUUUAACUUUUUUUUUUUCAAAAAUCUAAAGGCUAAACCAUUAUAUUCUUACCAACGAUGUCCUUGUUUUAAGAUGUCGUAAAUUUUAAUGGGUUAUAUAUCCUCUUUUGAUGUGUUGGAGCUUCUUCUUUUCGUUUUUUAAUCAUGUUCAAAAUUGAAAAAAGUGAGAAUUUCCACAUGAGAGACUAAUUUUUUAUUCAAUAAAUAAGUUAUAUUGGAGAAUGUCUUUGUUAUGAGAACGUCUUUUUUUUUUUGUUUUAUCCACGAGAUAUCUUGGGGAGAGCCCCAACUGUGGGAGGCACCUUUAAGCCUGUACCACAACCCAGACUAGAAGUCCCCGCUCGAAUCGAGAGGCACAGGUUCUCCCAACAAAGGCGACUUCCCUGCGACUCGAACUGAGGAGCAAACCCAGUCAAGCCACUUAAGAAGACUCCAUUGCCAGUUGAGCCAACACUUUGUUGGUAUGAGAACGUCUUUAAUGCUCUAAAUCAUUGUUUUUUUUUUUUUUUCCAUUCACUAUUUGACAUGUGUGUAAUCUUUGAACUCGUUAUGAUUAUAUACAUUGAUCGACCAAUGGGUAACCACAUCGGGCUACAGUACAACCGAACUAAAAUUUCCUCUAAAUUUAAUUGCUGAUUUAGCAUAUGUAUUAAUUUUAAUGUUAAUUGUAUUCAUUUAAGCCCCUAGUAAUUUAUUUCAUAAAGGCACACAUUAAACUUUAUCCUAUUAAAAGUUUAAAAACAAUUCUUUAAAUAAUUAAAAGAGUUGACGGCUUGGCAUUUAAUCAAAUUAUUAUUAUUUUGCUCUUUUAUGUCCCUAUUUUAAUUUUAAAAAUAUUGACUCAUUAACUUAUCUUCCAAUUCCACGUCCUACGUCUAGAAUCCCUAAAGCGAACAAGAAUUCAAAGAUGUUUCACUUUUCCAAAUCUUUAAUGCUAAAGACUACAAAAUACAAAACAUCUUCCAAUUAAGUUCCAACGUGCUUAAAUCUUAAUCUUUUAUUCAUAAUUAUCAUUAAAGAUGAUAUUUUUAUUAAGUUAUAUCAAGCAAUAAUUUAUUUAGUAAUUUUUUUGUUUAUACAAUACAAAUUAAAAAGUAUCAUUAUUCAUCAUUAUCAAUUUGUUUUGUCUAAUAGGUUGGUUAUAUACAUAGAGAAAGACAAUUUUAAUAGUAUUGACAAUUAAGUUAUCUUACAACUUUUCAUGACAAGUGUAAUAAUAUAUUAAAUUAACUUCAAGUUUGUAUUUUUGUUUCUAUUAAAGUUGUAAAAAACUGAAAUUAAGGGUAUUAUUAUAACUAAUGUAAUUAUUUUUACUAAGUUUAAUAACAAUGUAUUAUUAGAUCCAUUCACUAUUUGACAUGUGUGUAAUCUUUGAACUCGUUAUGAUUAUAUACAUUGAUCGACCAAUGGGUAACCACAUCGGGCUACAGUACAACCGAACUAAAAUUUCCUCUAAAUUUAAUUGCUGAUUUAGCAUAUGUAUUAAUUUUAAUGUUAAUUGUAUUCAUUUAAGCCCCUAGUAAUUUAUUUCAUAAAGGCACACAUUAAACUUUAUCCUAUUAAAAGUUUAAAAACAAUUCUUUAAAUAAUUAAAAGAGUUGACGGCUUGGCAUUUAAUCAAAUUAUUAUUAUUUUGCUCUUUUAUGUCCCUAUUUUAAUUUUAAAAAUAUUGACUCAUUAACUUAUCUUCCAAUUCCACGUCCUACGUCUAGAAUCCCUAAAGCGAACAAGAAUUCAAAGAUGUUUCACUUUUCCAAAUCUUUAAUGCUAAAGACUACAAAAUACAAAACAUCUUCCAAUUAAGUUCCAACGUGCUUAAAUCUUAAUCUUUUAUUCAUAAUUAUCAUUAAAGAUGAUAUUUUUAUUAAGUUAUAUCAAGCAAUAAUUUAUUUAGUAAUUUUUUUGUUUAUACAAUACAAAUUAAAAAGUAUCAUUAUUCAUCAUUAUCAAUUUGUUUUGUCUAAUAGGUUGGUUAUAUACAUAGAGAAAGACAAUUUUAAUAGUAUUGACAAUUAAGUUAUCUUACAACUUUUCAUGACAAGUGUAAUAAUAUAUUAAAUUAACUUCAAGUUUGUAUUUUUGUUUCUAUUAAAGUUGUAAAAAACUGAAAUUAAGGGUAUUAUUAUAACUAAUGUAAUUAUUUUUACUAAGUUUAAUAACAAUGUAUUAUUAGAUAAUGACAUUGUUAUUAAGAAUAAUCCCCUCCAAAUAAAUUGUCUGGACCUGCUACUGAUGAUAUAUAUAUAUUCAUAUGCCAAAUAGUGAAUGGAUAAAAAUAAUUGUUCUAGGAGCACCAAAUUUUUUUUCAUAAUGAGUCUUAUUACCCAAAACUAAAAAAUGACUUGCUAACACUUCAUCUGUGCACGAUUCAAAAAAAAAAAAAAAAAAAAAAAACAAACANNNNNUUUUAAAAAAAAAAAAAAAAAAAAAAAAAGCAAGCAACGUUUGACAAUUCUUAUUUUCCUAUAUUAUUAUUAUUAUUUAUAAUUGAAAAAAGUAAGCGUAGAGAAGAUAUAUGUUUUGCACUAAAAUAUUAGAGUAAUAUUAUGCUUGAUAAGUGCCUAUUUUAUUUAUAUUUUACUAUUAAUUUUUCAUAUUUUUCUUGUUUGGUCUUAAAUAUUCUAAUUAUUCUAAUUAAUUUUUAAUUUAGUUAUUUUAUUAAAUUAAUUUUUAUCUUAAUUUUGAUAUUUUAUUAUUUUAAAUAUAUUCUGAGAUUAAAUAUAUAAAAAAAUCAGAAUAUUUAAGAAGAAAUCUGCUUAAACUAAUCAAGAUGAGAAAGAAUUGAAGUUUGCUGGAUUUAUGCUUGAUGGGCCGAUUAUUGAAUUAAUUGCUUUAAAUUGGAAUUAGAAUCCAAAUUUUAUUCGGCCAAGCAUUAUAAAAAGCCAACCUUUUGGCUUUUGAAUGUGGCAGCCAAAAAGGGGGAAUCCAAAAGGCAUUAAAUUGGAAGAGCAGCCGCUUGGAUUAAUUUCUAUGACUGGUUUUAUCAACUCUUUUAUUCUCAAUUCAAUUAUGUUAUGAUAGAUUUUUUAUUUGGUUGAGGGUGAAUUCAAAACCAUAAACAUGUCAUAUGAUUAAGAUUCAAUUUCUAUCAUUUAAUUUAUUUGAUUGAAAUUAUUUAUGUUCUUCUAUAAUUAAUGUUUAUGAUUUUAUUAUUGUCUUGUUUGAAUGACCAAUUAGAUAAGACUUGAAUACAUUCUAUUAGUAGAUUAAAAUUCUUGAUUCGUAAUUGUCUUGAUAUUUUAAUCAUUAGUAGCAAAUUGAAAUGAUUUCAAUUGAAAAACAUAACUUAGGUUAAAUAAUCCGACCUUGUGUGUUUAUUGCCUAAAUCAAUUUAAUAUAUUUCUCUACUUAAUGCUCCCAUUAUCUUAAAUUUAAAGAGUUUAUUUUAAAUUAUUUAAUGGUUAGAGAUUAGGUGAAGAACUUAUUUUAAAUCUUUAUUUAUACGAGUUGAUAAUAAAUAAAACUAAUAUUUAUUCCUAAUUUAGUGUGGGGCCCAUCAAAAUGAAUCACAUUCCAUCUCUUAUUUCACCAAGUAAAUGCGAGUUUCAUUUCGAUUAUGGAUUGUCAUUCCCGAAUCCACAAUAAUGAAAUUUAAUAACACGAAUUUAUCUUUCACCUUUUUCAAGCAAGUGUGAAAGGCCAAAAAUACUUAUGAUGUUAGUUAACUAUUCAAUUUGUAUUUUACACCAUAUAUCAAAGUAGCAUUACUUGAGACUUAACAUACCAAAAAGCAAAAGAAGUAAUCAUGCCAUGAUCUUGGGAAUAAAUUCCAAUCGUCUCACAACUCUUUAGAUAUAGAGAACUCAUGAAAUUGUUGCAGAAGAAAUGAAAUCAUGCAAAAUUGAAGUUAUAAAUGUUUUACUCAACAAGCUUAAUAAGUUCUGUCUUUAGCUUAGCCCAAGAUCAAAUCAAUCUUAAAGUGAAGCGAUAUAUACAUGCCUAACUAGAUAAUUGUAAAUUGAAUAGCAAGAUUGAAAAUUCCAAUCCUUUAUGAUUUUAUUCUCGAAUUUUCAUUCGAUAUACAGCCCUUCAUUGUAUAUAUUUAUAUAUUUUGGAGGAGAAUUGCAGUAUUACACUGUUUGUUGUGCUCUAGAUCUAGCCAAUCUUGUGGCUUGAAAAAUACAAAGAAUAAGAAAAAAAUUCCAAAUCCAACGUGUACUUAAUGCACGCUGGGCCCCGGAAGGGUAGUGCUUUCCAACAACUCAACAUAAUGAUAAUUACAAUUCUUUCAACACUGUGUUGUGUGUACAUAUUUUGGCUUAGGCCUUUCGAGCAUCCUGCCUAUAAAUAUAUACAUAUACAUAUCUCAUACCUGUAGUUAAUUCAUUCCCUAGAGGACUAGUUAAAUAAUCAAAUAAAAAUAAUGGGCCAGGACGAAAACACAAAAGCGCAAGUGCAGAGCAAUGAGGGUAAUAACAAAACUCCGAAAGCAAAAGGUAAGUUAAUUAAGGUGUCUUUUUUUCUUUUUUUCUUUUUUUUUUGUUGAUUGAAUUGUUAAUUGCUGUACGUUCGUUAAUUGGUGGACAGAUGAGAAGAUAAUAAAGGAUAUUGAUUCCUACAAGCAAGUUACGAGGUAUAUAUUGGAGAAUGAUUGGAAAGGUUUAGAAGAUUACAUAAUGAGCAAGACUCCAAAUGCCUUGACCUGCAUUAUUGUCGAUCAGAGUUCCAUUUUUGAAUUUAUUGUUGGUAUACCAGAUGUGCCCGCGACGCUUGUAGACAAGCUUCUAUCAAAAGUCCCACGAAAUUGCUUACAAAACUUUGCGAGAGAUGAAGGCUCUGAAUAUAUGGAGUAUGCUGUUUCUACUGGGAAGUUAAACUUGAUCACAACCCUUAUGGGUUACAACGAAGAAUUGCCAAACAUAAAGGUCGAGAAGAAAGAUGAUCCAAACAUAAAGGACGAGGAGAAAGAUGAUCUUCUUCCUGUUCAUAUGGCAGCAAAAGCAGGCAAGAGGGACGCUGUUCGUCAUCUACUCCCAAAGACUAGAGAACCCUUGGAUGGCCGUCAAGGCUUUGUCCUGCUUAAAUUUCUGAUUGAUUCUAAUCUCUUUGGUAAGUACUACAGUGGAGAAUCCUCUAUAGUAAUUUUAUAAUAAGGGAAUCCAUAUUUUAUUAAAGUAAAAUAUAAAUUAAAAGAAUGAGGAUGUCUACGUUAAAAAAAAAUUAUUUUUUAAUAUUUUGUAAUAAUGUAGAAUUAGUUUAUAAUAUUAUAAUUUUAUAAACUUGUCCUGAAUUUUAAUAAAUUACAAAAUUCUCUUAUUUAAAAAUUAUAUAUAUGUGUGUGUGUGUGUGAGGAAAUGACUUUACAAUAUUGUAAAAUCAUUCGUUUAUAAAAUUACAAAAAUCUUUCCUAUACUUUAAUUAAAUACGAAAUUUUCAUAUUAGAAAAUUUUCGUGUAUAUAUAAAUUUGUGCCAACAUCUGACUUUUAUAACUCUAGAAGCACCGAGUCCGCAUAGAAUUUUGUGCAGACAUAUAUUUAUGUAUAUUUUAAGCAAUUUAAUUCAUUAUAUAUUUUUUUCCUUUUUUUUUUAAAUUUUACAGAUAUGGCUCUUGCUUUAUUGAAGUGCCAUCCAAUGAUAGCCCGCGCAGAUAUUGGUGAGACUGGAAAAAUUUUGGAGUCAUUGAGUAAAAGGCCUAAGGCGUUCGCAAGCGGGAGCCGACUUGGAUCUUGGAAACGCUUACUGUAUCAAUGUAGGCCUUGUUCACAACCUUUUCUAAUUAAAGUUGCACUACUUGUUUAUUUGGUUCAAUUAUUUACACCUAAGUAGACAUAUUAAAAAUUAAAAAAGAAUAAUGAUAAACCACAGACUCUUCCUACAAACUACUUAGUAUAAUAAGAUCGGUCGAAUAAAAAUAAAAAAUUAACUUGUAGAUCAUUAGACAUAUCUCUUCAUAUAUUUGUGGGAGUAGAUUCUAAAUCAUAAUAUAUCUUUAAAUUAUAAUAAUUUAUAUAAAAUACAUUACUACGCUACGUCAGUUAAUUAAAAUAAUUUAAAUAAAGAGUUUGUAGCUUGAUUAGAAACUCUAUUACUACUUUAGACUGAAAUAUUCCAAGUCCUAUAGUUUAAACAUGUGAACUGAUAUUAAAAUUAAAAAAAUGUAAUGAUGUUUUUUGGAUAAUUUCACUAGUAAAAUCGUUUAGGCUCGAAGCUUACAAUAAUAUAGUUUAAUUUAAAAUAAAUCUAGCCUAUCUAAGUUUCAACUAACCUUCCUUUCCCUUUACUUUUUUGUAUUUGCAGGGAUUCCUAUACAAGAGGAGUAUAAUCCUCAUCCUCACCCUCAUUCUGAGAAUGUGGGUGGAGACCUAGAGAAGCAGCUCAGUGUAACAUCAAAGAUUCAGUUGAAAAAAUUCUUUCUUCAAAAAAUCCCUUCUGCAUUUGGUUUGUAUAUCUCAUACUUCUAUCUAAAUCUUUAUGAGCAUUUCAUGACAAACCAAAUUUUAUUUUUAUUCACUCCAUCUUACCAUCCACUUAAUCAGUAACACAUCAUUUGUAGAAAAAAAUUAGAAUAAAAUCACUCGGGAGAAAAAAAGCAGAAUAACCUUUGAGAUGUCUGGUUUUCAUUAAAUCUUUGUAUGUGUAUGCUGAACAAAAAAAUUAUUAUCCUGAGGUAUAUCAUAUAUGCUGAUCAAUAAAUUUUUCACGCAGCUAAUAACUUAUAGUUUAUUUUUACAGGUUCUUUGCGUCAAAAAUUAAAGCUUGUGCUCUGGAACAACCUCAUGGAGCUAGGUAAUUAAGUAUUGAAGACAUUCUCUUAAAUAAAUUGAGAAUUUUUUUCUGAAAAUUAAUAUUGUUUAAUUACUAAUAAUUUAAUUAGAGUUGAAUACAUGAAUACCAGCCCCGAGCAUAAAAUCGAUACGUGAUGCAAAGAUAAUACAUGAGCAAACGCUUGAAAUAUUAAGGAUCAUGUGUGCGGGAGCGGUAGAUAUCUUGAAUACACAUGAAGAAGCACAAAAUGUAUUUAAGAAGCCAAUGUUUAAGGCUGCAAGAUUGGGGAUUUACGAGAUUGUCAUGGGAAUUAUGAACUCUUAUUUCCCUUGGUCGUUAGAGUUCAAGAAUAAAGAUGGAUAUGACAUAUUCAAGGUUGCAGUUGAACAUCGCCGAGAAAAAGUUUUUAACAUCAUAUUUAAUUUUCCAAACAUUUACCCAUUUUUUUUGGCUAACAUCGAUGAAAAAGGCAUCAACAUCUUGCACAUAGCUGCAAGGUCGGUACCUUCAACUGAAGUCCCUGGUGCAGCAUUGCAGAUGCAGAGGGAGUUGCAGUGGUUCAAGGUAUAUAAUUAGUUAAUACACUAUUCUAGUAUAUACCAUUUUAUAUAAUUAAUCAUGCAAUUAUAUGUUAACUUAAAAUUAUAUAUGCUAACUCAGGCUGUGGAAAAUUUUGUUCACCCAACCUUACAAGAUCAAUUAAAUGGUGAAGAUAAAACACCAAGAGAGGUGUUCACUGAAGAACACGAGAAGUUAGUCGAAGAAGGUGAAAAAUGGAUGAAGGACACAGCUGGAUCGUGCUCAGUUGUAGCUACACUCAUAAUGACAAUAGUCUUUGCUGCAGCGAUCACCGUACCAGGCGGCAGCGACAGUAGAGGAAUGCCCAAUUUCUUGGAAGAACCAUCUUUCACAAUUUUUGGAAUUUCAAACGCCCUUGCACUCUUUUCAUCCGUUAUUUCGGUGUUGAUGUUCUUGGGCAUCCUCACUUCACGUUUCUCAGAAGAAGAUUUUCUCGUGUCCCUCCCCAGGAAAUUAAUCAUUGGCCUCAUCACCUUGUUCUUUUCAAUUGCAUGCUUGAUGGUUGCAUUUGCUGCCACAGUCCACAUAACUCAGUUUCAUCCAUGGAAAUGGGUCAUUAUCCCAACGGCUCUGCUUGGUUUUUUACCUGUCUUCUUAUUUGCAACCCUACAGUUUCCACUCUUAAUUGAAGUGUUUUUGUCCACUUACGGGCCUGGUAUUUUUCAUCCAAUGAAGUUUCUAAGAAUGUAACUUUCAGAUCGAGACAAUUGGUGGUGUUGUUAUAAUUGUUUUAAUGUUAAUAAAAGCCUCGCUACCUAGUACGAGGUCUCGUCUAAUAAGAAAUUCAAAUAAAGCUCUAAUAACACCUUUUUUUUUUAAUUUACCUACCGAAUAAUAAAUGAAACGGGCAUCGUUGUCCCAAAAACUAAAAUGUGAACUGGGGUGGAGUCAUUGCAUAUUGUAAAUCGACCAAAACUUAAGGGCCUAAUACUUUGUCUGUAGUAACAAAUUUGUCAUUAAAUUUGUAAAUUGUGUCCUCACUUAAGAAGUACUGUCUGCAACAUUUAUCACCGAUAAUGAGAAAUUCGUUUUUAAGAAUAAAAUAAAAAAACUUGUCAAUAUGCUGCAAGCAACCAUGUAACACUAUGACACCGUACGUGAACCAAUCUCGGGCAAUUCGCCAAAAUCAAUCCCAUCAAUCAACCCCAUAAUCAUGCAAGGACAUCUGAUAUCUCCAACUAUUAUUUUUCAUUAUGUCAUAACUUCCACAGGUCAAACUAUUAUGUAUAAUUUCCUUUUCAAGUCUCAUUUUCCUAGAUAGAGCAAAAGCGUUAUAUAAAAUAAUUUUCAAGUCUCUAUAGAAAUAAAAUCCUUUCAAUUUCUUCACAUUCUAUGAAAUUUCAUAGAUGUAAUUGAUCCCAUCUCAUCAAAUUGAUAUUUGAGAAACAAAAACUUGUCUUUUGUGCACACCGUAAGAGUAUGUGGGGGCGAAGGCAACAGAGUGGCUUAGUGCUACAUUGCAUGCAAAGUGGUCUUAACCGUACACAAGGGAUAAGAUUUUCAUCAUCCACGCAUUCUAGCUGGCUUGCUUAUCUCUUGCUGCAUUGGUUUGUCUCUUUUCUAGUUUCUACCAUACCAUCAAUGCUAGCUACCAAUGAUGUAUGUCUUCCUGAUUCUAAGAUUCAAUACUAGCAUCAGUAUUUGGGGAACAGUAAAUAAAUAACUAAGCUAAUGAAAUGCUCAGUACUCGAUUUAUUCUUCAAGUUUAUUUCUUGAGCAAUAUAUAAACCUAUUUAUGCUUAAGGUUUAUAAUUGUGUUCGAUUUUUUUGUUGGGUUGGGCUUGGUUGUUUGAUGAUAAUGGACGUGGUUGUUUGAUGGGUUUGGGUAGGUUUAUGUAUAGAGCUUGUGCAUAACUGGGGUUUGCUGCAAUUUCCAGAUACGAACAUGCAGGAUUUUAACGAGUGAAAAGAAAAAACACAAAAAUUUGAAGGUGUGAAGCAUCUUGGCCUUUGGGGAGCACAAUCAGACAAAUAAAAAACAGGAAUCUCCUUUUUCGUGUCAUUAAUUUACUACAUAUAAUACGACUUUAAUAAAUUAUAUUGACUGGCAAAAGUUAAUAUUUUCUUUUAAUACCCUUAAACAUCAAACAGCGACAAGCAUGACAAAGAAGGAUGAUAUGAUUUACAUGGCAUUUGUUCUUUGAAAAUUGCACGGCCCAAGGAUAAAAAUAAUGGUUUGAUUCAAGCUUUACAAUAUUUCAUUUUGCAAAAAUAUAUACAGAUAAAUAAAGAGUAGUGCUACUUUAUUUAAAAUUGGUUCGGAAAAUUUUGAUUUAAUUAUAAGAAAAGAUCGAAUUAUCAUUUUUUUUUCCAAGUCAUCCACCGUACCCCACACAAAACACAAAUUAAAUAAGUUUCCCCUUCGUGAUUGGUAUGAGGCAAUGAGGGAAAAUUGAUCCCUUGAUCUCAACUAGACUAUACUAGUUUUCAAACCCGAACUAUCUCUUAGUGUAUUUACAAUAAUGAAGGGUAAUAAAACGAAUUUAUCUUUCACGUUUUUCAUGCAAGUGUGAAAAGCCAAAAAUACAUAUGAUGUUAGUUAACUAUUCAAUUUGUAUUUUACACACUUUAUCAUAGUAGGCAUUAUUUGAGAAUUAACAUAUACCAAAAAGGAAAAGAAAUAAUUAUGCCAUGAUUUUGGGAAUAACUUUAAUUAUGCCAUGAUUUUGGGAAUAACUUCCAAUCGUCCUACAACUCUUUAGAUAAAGAGAAAUCAUCAACUUUGAUUCUUGCGGAAGAAAUGAAAUGAUGCAAAAAUGCUGUUAUAAAUGUUUUACUCAACAAGCUUAAUAAGUUCUGUCUUAGCUAGCCUAUCUAAUAGUGAAGCGAUAUGUACAUGCCUAACUAGAUAAUUAUAAAUUAAAUUACAAGAUUGAAAAUUCCAAUCCUUUAUGAUUUUAUUCUCGAAUUUUCAUUCAAUAUAUAGACCUUCAUUGUAUAAAUUUAUUUCUUCGGGAGGAGAAUUUUCGUGUAUAAUAACGAUCUUUAAAAUUAAAGUAAUUAAUAUGUGACUAAACACUCGCAGUAUUACACUGUUUGUUGUGUUCUAGAUGUAGUCAAUCUUGUGGCUUGAAAAAUACAAAGAGUAAGAAGAGAAAGCAAAUUAAGAAACCCAACAUAUAGAUCGACAAGAUCACAAGAACAAACUGGAACACAUGAUAAUUAAUUAAAGUGAUUUCAUAAGUAAGAUAAAGUGAUAAGAAAUUUAAAAUUUCCUUUUGAUCACUUAAAGAACAAUAUAAGGCCGCGGCUGCCUUGCAGAAAACUCUAAGUAACAGCCAAAUAAUGUCAUUCGCCUAUCACUCAAUAUAAAAUUCCAAAUACAACAUGUACUUCAUGCACACAGGGGGAAGGAUAUUGCUUUCCAACAACUCAACAUAAUGAUAAUUACAAUUCUUUCUAGACUGUGUGUAUGCGUGUGUGGAUAUAUAUAUUGGCUUAUCCCUUUUGAGCAUCCUGCUUAUAAAUAUGUAUCUCUCAUAUCUGUAGUUGAUUCUUCCCUGGAGGACCAGUUAUAUAAUCAAAUAAAAAUAAUGUGUAGCGACGAAAUCACAACAGCGCAAGAGGAGAGCGAUGAUGGUAAUAACAAAACUCCGAAUACAAAAGGUAAGUUAAUUAAGAUAUCUUCUUCUUCUUUUUUUUGGUUUAAUGAAUUGUUAAUUGCUGUACGUUCGAUAAUUGAUGGACAGAUGAGAAGAUAAUAAAGGAUAUUGCUAACUACAAGCAAGUUACGAGGUAUAUAUUGGAGGAUGAUUGGAAAGGUUUAGAAGAUUACAUAAUGAGCAAGACUCCAAAUGCCUUGGCCUGCAUUACUGUCGAUCAGAGUUCCAUUUUUGAAUUUAUUGUUGGUAUACCAGAUGUGCCCGUGACGCUUGUAGACAAGCUUCUAUCAAAAGUCCCACAAAACUUGAUACAAAAGUGGAUGAGUGAGGACGUCAUUGAAUUUAUGAUGUAUGCUGCUUCUACUGGGAAGUUAGAAUUGAUCAGCACCUUGAUCCGUUACGAAGCAGAUUUGCCAAACGUAAGGGACGAGGAAAAUUUACUUCCUAUUCAUAGAGCAGCGAAACAGGGCCAAAGGAACGUUGUUUGUUAUCUACUCGAAAAGACUAGAGCACCCUUGGACGGCAGUGACGGUAUUUUCCUGCUUGAAGAUCUGAUUAAUUCUAAUCUUUUUCGUAAGUACUACAAUGCAGAACCAUAUAUAGUCAUUUUAAAACAAGGGAGUCCUUAUUUUAUUAGAGUAAAAGAUAAGGUAAAAGUAAAAAAUAUAAGUUCUAAUCCAGUAUUAGUGUAUUGAUUGUUUUUUUUUUUUUUUUUCCUGUAGCAUAAUAUGACUUUAAUAUGGUAAGCAAUUUCUAAUUGAAAGUGUAUGUAUGUACGUAUGCAAUCAUUCACUAAAAUAUAUAAAUUUCAACACACUAUUUUUUAUAUGUUAGUAUAUUGAAAUCUAUAUAUAUGUAUGUAUGUAUGUAUGUAUGUAUGUAUGUAUUUUAGUGUCUUUCUCACUUUGUUAAAAAGAGAAUAACCUCAUUAUAUAUGUAUAUAUAUUUUUCUAAUUUGAAAUUAAAGUUCGGGCUUUUUUUUUUACCAUUUUACAAUAUUGUAGAAUUGGUUUACAAUAGUAUAAACUUGUCCUGCAUUUUCAUAACCUACGAGAUUCUUCUAUUGACAAAUUUUCAUAUAUAUAUAUAUAAGUGGGGGAAUGACUUUUCCAGUAUUGUAAAAUCAUUUACUGCAUUGUAAAAUUCUUUUACAACAAUGUAAAAGUUUUUCCUAUACUUUAAUAAAGUACAGAAUUUUUGGAAAAUUUUCAUCUAUAUAUAAUUUUUUGCAGACAUCCACUUUUACAUCUCUGAAAACACCUAGUCCGCACAUAAUUUUGAGCAGACAUAUAUGCAUGUAUAUAUUAAGUAAUUUAAUUCAUUAUAUUCUUUUACAGAUGUAGCUUAUGGUCUGUUGAGGAAGCAUCCAAAGCUGGCAUGGGCAGAAAUUGCUGGCACUGGAAAAAUUUUAGAGUUAUUGAGUAAAAGGCCUAAGGCGUUUGCAAGCGGGAUCCGACUUGGAUAUUGGAAAGGCUUACUGUAUCAAUGUUGGCCUUGUUCUCAACCUUUUCUAAUUAAAGUUGCACUACUUGUUUACUUGGUUCAAUUAUACCUACGUAGACAUAUUAAAAAUUAAAAAAGAAUAAUGAUAAACCACAAACUCUUUGUACAAACAACUUAGCAUAAUAAAAUUAAAAAAAAAUUAGCAUAAUAAGAUUGGUUGAAUAAAAAUAAAAAAAUUAACGUGUGGAUUAUGUGAUAUAUCUCUUCAUAUAUUGGUGGGAGUAGAUUUCAAAUUAUAAUAUAUCUUUAAAUUGUAAUAAUUUAAAAUAAAAUAUAUUAUUAUGCUACAUUAAUCUAUGAAAAUAAUUUAAAUAAAGAGUUAGUAACUUUAUUAUUACUUGAUUAGAAAUUCUAUUAUUAGUUAUACUGAAAUAUUCUAAGUCCCAUAGUUUAACACACGUGGCCUGAUAUUAAAAUUAAAAAAAUGUAAUGAGGUCUUUUGGAUAAUUUCACCGGUAAAAUCAUUUAGACUCAAAGCUUACAAUAAUAUAAGUUAAUUUAAAAUAAAUCUAGCCUAUCUUAGUUUUCCGACUAACCUUCCUUUCUCUUUACUUUUGUGUAUUUGUAGGGAUUCCUGUGCAAGAAGAGUAUAAUCCUCAUGCUCACGCGCAUUCUGAGAAUGUGGAUGGAGACCUGGAGAAGCAGCUCAGUGAAACAUCCCAUUCUGCAUUUGGUUUGUAUAUCUCACACUUCUAUCUAAAUCUUUACGAGCAUUUCAUGACAUAACAAAUGCUAUUUUUAUUCACACCAUCUUACUAUCACUUAAUGAAUAACACAUCAGUUGUAGAAACACAUUAGAAUAAAAUCACUCGGGAGAAAAAAAAACAGAAUAACAUUUGAGAUGUCUAGUUUUCAUUAAAUCUUUGUACGUGCAUGCUGAGCAAAAAAUUUAUUAUCCUGAGGUAUAUCAUAUAUGCUGAUCAAUAAAUUUUUCAGGCAGCCAAUAACUUAUAGUUUAUUUUUGCAGGUUCUUUGCAAAAAAAAUUAAAGAUUGUGCUCUGGAACAACCUCAUGGAGCUAGGUAAUUAAGUAUUGAAGACGUUAUCUUAAAUAAAUUGAGAAAUUUUUUUCUGAAUAUUAAUAUUGUUUAAUUACUAAGAAUUUAAUUAGAGUUGAAUACAUGAAUGCCAGCCCCGAGCAUAAAAUUGAUACGUGAUGUAAAGAUAAUACACGAACAAAAAAUUAGGGCAUUUUCUAUAAAAUUUUUAAAUAACACUUCGUCCUAACAUUUGCAAAUUGUGUCCUAAAUAAAGAAGUGCUGUUUGCAGCAUUUAUUAUCGAUAAUGAAAAAUUUGUUCUUAAGAAUAAAAUUAAAAAACUUGUGAAUAUUGCAGGCAACAGUGUAAGACUAUUACACCUGAUGUGAACCAAUGUCAAGCCAUUUACCAAAAUCAAUCCCAUCAAUCAACCACAUAAGCAUGCAAGGACAUCUCCGACUAAUGUUUUUUAUUAUAUCAUAAAUUAUAUCAUAACUUCCACAGAUCAAGCUAUAGUGUACAAUUUCCUUUUCAAGUCUCAUUUUCCUAGAUAGAGCAAAAGCGUUAAAAAGAAUUUUCAAGUCUCUAUAGAAAUGAAAUCCUUUAAGGUAGUGUUUACUUUUUGGAGUGGGAGUGUGGAGUGUGGAUUCCUCCCACUCCAGUGUUUACUUACCUUAAAAAUGGGGAGAGUGGGAGUGGGAAUCCGUGGGUCCCACCUAAAUUUAGAGUGGGGAGUGGGAUUCCCACUCCCAUUGGGGGAGGUGGGAGUGGGAAUCCACUCCCCCCUCUNNNNNNNNNNNNNNNNNNNNNNNNNNNNNNNNNNNNNNNNNNNNNNNNNNNNNNNNNNNNNNNNNNNNNNNNNNNNNNNNNNNNNNNNNNNNNNNNNNNNNNNNNNNNNNNNNNNNNNNNNNNNNNNNNNNNNNNNNNNNNNNNNNNNNNNNNNNNNNNNNNNNNNNNNNNNNNNNNNNNNNNNNNNNNNNNNNNNNNNNNNNNNNNNAUAUUUAAUAAAAUAAAUAAUAUCAUAUUUAUUAAAAAUAAUAAUUAUAUCAUAUUUAUUUUAUUAAAUUUAAUAAAAUGAAAAUAAAUAAAUAUUAUAUUUAAAUUAAUAAUAUUAAACAUUAAUUUUAAUAAAUAUUAAUUAUUUAUUUAAUAAUAAUAAAUAUUUUAUUUUAAAAAAAUAUUAAUUUUGUACUAUAUUAUCAAUAAUAAUAUUUUAUUUGUGUUGCUAUUAUUAAUAAUUUUUAUUCACAUAAUUUAAAUUAAAAUUAAUAAAAAAUUAUGAUUUACAUAAUUAAGAAUAUUAUUAAUUAUUAAUAAUUUAUAAAUAUAAUAAAAUAUUUAUUUUAUUUUCCAAAUAUAUUUUUUAUUAAUUUUUUAAUUACAAAUUAUAAUUCUGUACAUAAGGAUAAAAUUGUAAUUUAAAUUAAUUUAUUCCCAAUCCAAGACAAAGUAAACAAAUAAUUGGAAUUCUAAUUGACAAUCCAUACUUUCAUUUAGUCUAAGUAAACACCCUACUCUCACUCCCACUCCACACUCCUAAUCCAAGGAUUCCCACUCCAAUCCAAAAAGUAAACGCAGCAUAAGUUUCUCUUCACAUUCUAUUAAAUUUCAUAGAUGUAAUUGAUCCCAUCUCAUCCAAUUGAUAUUGAGAAACAAAAACUUAUCUUUGUCCAUACGUAAGAAUAUGUGGGGACGAAGGCAAGAGAGUGACUUAGUGGUCUUAACCAUACACAAAGGAUAAGAUUUCAUCAUCCACGCAUUCUAGCGAGCUUGCUUAUCUCUUGCUGCAUUGGUUUGUCUCUUUUCGAGUUUCUACAACACCAUUAACGCUGGCUACUAAUGAUGUACGUCUUCCUCAUUCUAAGAUUCAAUAUUUGCAUCAAUAUUUGUAAUGCUCAGUUCUUGAUUUAUUCUUCAAAUUUAUUUCUUGAGCAAUAUAUAAGCCUAUUUAUGCUUAAGGUUUAUAAUUGUGUUCGAUUUCUUUGUUUGGUUGCGCUUGGUUAAGGUGCUAAUUAUUGUUGUGUUGCAAUGUUUUAUAUUUAUAUAUAUAUAUAUGUGUGUGUGUGUGUGUGUGUUUUUUUUUUCCCAUUCUGGGUAACACAUGGAUAAUGAGAGAAAUUUUAUUUAUUCAGAAGAAAAGAUAGGGGAAGUGAGAACAGAAAAUACUAACUCGUGAAUUCCAACAAUCAAAAACAUUAGCAACUAAAUGAAAUUAAGAACUCAAAACUACAAAUGAAGAAUGUGGUAACUAAUAAGCCUAGCCGGUGCCACCAAGGAUAGCCUUGAGCCUCUUCACCGUAGCAUCGUCAAGGAAAGUGGUCUGCUCCACCAAUUGGGAAGACAAGUUGUUAGCAAAUAAGGCGAAAUCGGUGAUUUGGAGUCCAGGAUUCGGGCUGUUGAAGCUAACAAAACCGAGGGCUCCGUCCGCACCGGAAUUUACUUGAAAAUGCAACAACCCUUGUGGAAAGAUCAUGAUAUCUCCCUUCUUAAGCGUCUUUACGUAAACAGUGUUAGCUGAAGAGGAAAUGAACCCGGCAGUUAUGCAGCCAUGCACAACAAGAAGGAUUUCGGAAGCAGCUGGAUGAGUGUGGAUUGGGAUUACGCCACCCUUUGCAAGAUCUAGGCGUGCCAAGGAGAGUCCGAGCCCAUUCACGGCCGGAAAUUGAGCUACAAAUGCAGGUGUCACUGCCGCGUUGAUAAUGCUCGUGGUGUUUCCGGCCACGCCGAGGCCCGAAAAUACGAAGUCGUCAGCGGUAACCAUAGCGGGGGGCACGCAAGGAUAGCCGGCGGGACUAUCCGACAGCUUUAGGUCAGCGACGCAGAAGUCGUUAACCAUAGCAUUGGAGGAAGAGGAUACGAAAGCAAGGAAGAAGAAGAGAAUGUGAAGCAUUUUGACUAAUAUUUAGUGUAGUUAUUUUGAUGAUAAUGGCUAUGGUUGUUUGAUGGGUUUGGUUAGGCUUAUAUAGAGCUUGUGCAUGAGUGGAUUUUGCUGCAAUUUCCAGAAAUGUACAUGCAGGAUUUUAAUGAGUGAAAAGAAAAAGACAAAAUUUUUUGAAGCUGUGAAGCAUCUUGGCCAUUGGGAGCACAAUCAGACAAAUAAAAAAAGGAAUCUCCUUUUUUCAUGUCAUUAAUUUACUAUAUAUAAUACGACUUUAAUAAAUUAUAUUGACUUGCAAAAGUUAAUAUUUUCUUUUAGUACCCUUAAACAUCAAACAGUGACAAGCAUGACGAAGAACGAUGGCCUGAUUUACAUGGCAGUUGUUCUUUGAAAAUUGCACACACACAGAGCCAGGUCGACCCAAACAUGUAGGCUUCCUAAAAUUUGUAACCAAAGUUGAAAUUCUUGGCUAUUAUUUUGAGAGCCGCUGGCAUCGGCUAUAAUGUGAACCUUGUAUGUACAAUUGAGGCGCCGUCAUGCAUGCGAUGACCUUAUUCUGAACUGCACAUUUACAAAGGGCUGCUUCAACGUGUUUAAUCAGUUAUCCUAAAUUCAUCUGCCCGAUAAGGGAGUAAUUCUCAUAGGCUGAAAAUAAUUUUUUGUACUAAAGUAUAUACAACAAUCUUUAGCUUAUAAUUAAGCUAGAUUUCAAGUAUAAAUCAGGCUCGUUUAUUGUCAUAUCAUGUAAAUUUAUUAAUCGAAUUUCAGCCUAAUAAUUUACGGCGGUGCAUGGCAACAGAAAUUCAGGAGCUACACUAAGAUAAAUCAGUAGAAUCGAGGAGAUAAUUGGAAAGUACCGAUUGUUUGUCCAAUUGCGGCGAGAUAGGUGGCACAUGGGAAGAGAGAAGUGAAGUUUAUAAGAAGACAAUCUGACAGCUAAAAGGGUUCGGAGAUAUUUAAAAGUCUUGCGUCCGUCAACUUGGGACCAUGGAGACAUUGUGUGGCCUAUACGAAUUCCCUUCCUGCUAAGGUUUCUACUCGCCGUAUAAUUGGGAUGCAAUGCCAGCCAAUAAAUGCCAAUUUGUCUAUACAUCAGUUAGGAUCCGUUCUGAAUUAUUUUUAGAAUUAUUUUUGGGAGGUAUAAAGUAAUUAAUUUUAUAAGGUAGAAAAUUAAUUUUAGUAUUUAAUAAUUUUUUUUUAGAAAUAACUUUUGAUAAAAUCACCGUAUUUAAAAAAUAAGAAAGGAGUAGUUUUUAAAAAUUUAAUUUUGAGAAUCAGUUUUAUAUUAAUGUAAUUUUAUAUAUCUUCCUAUAUAUUAUAAAAUUUAAAAUUAUCCUUAUUAAUUAAAAAAUAAAAUCAUCAACUUUAAAGAUAUUAUUACUAUUACUAAUGAUAUUGAAAUAAUAAAAUAAAAUUAAUAAUAUAAAAUAUUUAUUUUGGUUAUCAAAUAUUACAUAUACACAUUGAAAAAGAUAUGUUAUUGUAUGUUUAUAAAUGUGUAAAUAAAUUUUAUUCAACAUUAUAUUCAAUUCAAUCUUUACAUUCUUAUAGCAACUUAACAAUGAGAUUUAAUUACUAAACACAUAUGACUGUUUUUAAAACUCACAACUUUUUUAAAAAUAAAAUUUUACCAAAUAAUUAAGUAAUUCUCUUCUCAGCUUAGUAUUUCUACAAAAGCUACAAAAUUACCAAACAUGCCUUUUCUAUAUGUUUAGCAUUGUUUUAGAUUGUCAAAUAAUCACUUAUUUAACAAUGUAGCGAUCAAGAAGCCUUUGGUAAAUUCACUCUAAAGUGAUUAGCAAAUAAUUAGAUAUUAUAUUGAUUUAUAAAAGUAACUUAAAGUAGCUUUUCCAAACUUGAUUAUUUGAAAAUCAAUUUGUUUUAAGGUACAAACCAAAAUUGUCCUCUAUAAAUAUUUAUUCUUUCAAAAAUACCCUCAUACAACAAUUAAUUAAUACAUAAAAUUUUAUAAAUUAAAAGUAAAAUUAAAAAUGACUGCCGGAAUAUAGUCUCAGCGUCGUCACCGGUGAUAUUUUUGUGGCGCCAGCCAAGAGAAAGUUGUCUUUCAGUGAUAAAUCUAAUAGCAAUGAACUUGUCACAAUGAACGACUGAACGUGAUGGUAGUAGUCUCUUUAGCAAAAAUAAUUUGGUGGAGUAAAUGCCACGCAAAGGUUGUGGCAAUAUAAGGCCAUCAUCUAACGGUGGUGAGGUGACUUGCACCACCACCUCCAUUAGAUAGACCAACUCUCGUAUAUUCUAUUCAUGUUGAGAUUAAUAAAAAAUUACCUAUUUUAAUGGCAAGGUUAUGUUGCCGCCACUUAUUUAGGAGACCUUUCCACCAUCACCAUUUUUUACUUUUUUAAAAAAUUAUUUAUUUAUUUAUUUUUAUUUUAUUUUUAUUUUUAUUAUUAUUAUUAUUAUUUUUAUUAUUAUUAUUAUUAUUAUUAUUAUUAUUAUUAUUAAUUUUUUUGCCGAUGAUAUGGAUAUACUGCCGUAGAUCAUAAAAUUUUGAAUCUAACGUUGCUGUAUAUGUCAUUAAAGAACAAUUUUACUGACUGUUGCCGGCAGCGGAAGGUUUAAACUCCAAUCAAUUAUAUUUUUAUCGUAAAUAUUAUUUAUUAGUUAACAUUUAAUAUUGACUUUUUUUUUUGGGGAAAGAUAACAUUAAGUUAUAAAUUAUCUUAUUAAUUGACAUUUAAUGCGUUAAUGAUAAAUAGAAAGUUGAAAAAAAUUAUUAUUCAUUAAGGAAUAAUAUGAUUUAAAAUUAAUUGUAAUUCGUUUCUAUAUAACCAAAAUAUAAUUAGUCUAUUUUGGUCAUUUCAAUAUACACGUUUCUUUACCUUUUUUUAAGUUAAUUUGCCAAACAUACAUGCUAAAUUAUAUGAUAAGUGAUUAUAUUAUAAUCUAAAUUACUAAACUUGUAACCAAAUUAUUUAUAAUGAUAAACUUGUAAUCAAAUUAUUCAUAAAGACGAGUCUUUCAAAAUCUAUCCCAAAAUAGAUUAGUUGCAGAAAAGUUGUUUAAUCACCUUUGAUUUUACAAAGCACUUGCCUAAUGGAAACCCAGGAGUUUACGAAGGUAGAUAGCAAAGAAGUUUAUCUACACCUGUUGAUGAAGACUCAUACGAUAGAACUUAAUUACGUUUCCCUCACACCACGCAAGGCUUCUUUGGAUUCGUCAUCACGUGUGAAUUAAAUUCGUGUUGGGAGAAGACCUUUGAGUUAAAUUCUCUCAUACAACACGGUCAGAAAUCACUAGACCUAUAAGUUUAAGCUUUAAGAUAAAGAGUUCAAACAACAAUAUUAUUUUGUCUAAAUUGAUAGUGGGCUUAUUUUCAAAUUCACGUACCAAAUCCACCGUGUAGUGUGGGUAACUGAACCCACAAUUUGGGCCAGAGAUUUGACAAGGAGAUCACGGGCGGCUGCUAAGGGCUAAGAUGGAGAGCCGAGAGCUCGACAACGAGUGGCGUGAAGAUAGGGUGAUAAAUGAAUGAUGAUGAGCUGUAGACAAUCAGACAUGCAACACCCUUUUUGAAGCUGUAACAUGCGGUCUUCCGUCUUUGGAUUAUUUGUUGUCGUCCACUUAACAAAUUAACAAUGCAGAACUAACAUAUAUACCAAGAGUAAAUUUGUAAAAAUGUUGAUAACUUUCUCUUGUUAUAUAAGUUGAACAUAUAUACCAAUUAGUGAUGGUAGCUUCUUCUGUUUUUUUUUUUUAACUACAUAAAACUAUUGUUUAAAAUUACAACUCAUAUUAUAUGAGAAUACAAAUUCAUAUAAUAUGAUAAUACAACUGAUAUUUACAAAUCAAACUAUUACUGUGACUAAUUUAUAUCAAUUCUUAUAAAAUACUACUUAAAUUUUUAUCAUCACAAAUAUUCGAGAGAUGUCAACUCCUUCGCAGAAGAGAAAACGGCCUCCACUCAAUCAGUGGCGGACCUGCACGUGGGCUAGACUGGGCUGUAGCCCGGUCUAGUUUAGAAAAAAAAUCAUUUACACCCCUUACUUUUUUAAUAAUUUAGUAAAAUAAUAGAGUUUUCAUUUUAUUUUCAUAUAUGUCCCUAACUCAACUACCCUUACAUUUUCAUCAAUUUAGUAUAACAAUAGAGUUUUCAUUUUACAUUUAAAUAUGUCCCUAACUGAAUUACCCAUAUGUUUUCAUUAAUUUUAUAUAAUAAUAGAGUUUUUAUUUUAUUUAUAAAUGUGUCCCUAAGUCAAUUAUAUUAUUUUCAAUUGAAAUUAGUGACUUAUUUUAUAAAAUGAUUAAAUUAUAUAUUUAUUGAAUAGAUUGAAAACAUUAGGGUGUUAAAAUUUUAUUACUGCUUUAAUUUAUUUUAAAAAGCUUCUAAUUAAAAAAUAUAUAUGUCAAUGUAAUAUAACAUCAUCACUAGACUUAAAAGUACUUAUAGAAAUAACAUAUAGUAACAAUUAUCAAUAUUUUCAUAAACUUUUAAUGUGAAUUUUCAGAUUUUAUUUAUUAGUUAUAUUAACUAAGAGGACAAGUUAGAAAAUAAAAUUCUGCUGUACAGAUUUUAUUUAUUAGUUAUAUUAACUAAGAGGACAAGUUAGAAAAUAAAAUUUGAGUAUUUUAAGAGCUUUUAAUAGAAGAAUCAUCAAUUUCUUGUUCUUUAAAGAGAGAUAGAGCAUCUGACAAAGAAACAACUGCACCCAAAUAUCUUUUUACUGAAUUGAGUUUAAUUUAUUAUUGAAACUUUUGACUAAAAAUACUUUUACAAUUUGAAAGGAUGAAUAAAUUUUAAUUAUUUAAUUUAUUAAGUCGGGUAAUUUAGUACUUCACUUCAAGCAUAAAAGUUUUACUUGUAAUUUUUAAUUGAUUGUAAUUACAUGUAUUGAUCUAUUUUAAUUUAAAAUUCUUAAUUGAUUUUUUAAUCCUUAUAUAAUUACAAGUUAUUAUAGGUUGCAAUGUCAAAUUCUAUAAUUAAAAAAUAAUAUUUUCAUAUUUGAGUUGUUUUUUGUUUUCUACUCUUUUUUUAUAAUUAUUUUUGUUUAUAGUACAUAUUUAGAGAUAUAAAGUUCUUGGUAUUCCUCCUUAUUUAAUAUACUUAUUUCUACUUAUAAAUUUUUAUGUUCGCUUCAAAAUAUAAAUUUUAAAAUUUAACCCGGGUAAUAUUAAAUCUUAAAUCCGCUCCUGCACUCAAUUAUUAAUAACUGAGCAAGGAAUAAAUCCCUCCCAUAAUGCAUUUAUGGGGUCGAACAGCUAGCUGCACUUACAUAGGUGAGGGGGGCCGAGUGGUGAUGGUAGCUACUUGGUGUUACAUAAAUUUGGAUUUAGAACCAAACCCAUGGAGAUGGAGUUGAAUUGUGCAGGGCGGGCCACUGACUCGCAAACAGAAAGUCUGGUUCCCAGUCAAAACACUUAUCCCAGGUGAGGUUUAGACCUAUGUGACUGUGAUAUCUGCGAACUGUCUGCUUCACAGGGAAAGAGAUUUUUUUUUUUUCCCCGAAAGAGGGGGGAAGCGAUGUUCAAAUGAACUGCAGAAUGGAGGUAAAAAUAAAUAUCGGGUGAUAAUGAGUGCAAAAGGCUUAGUUAGUUGAGGCAAUGCAAUAAAGGAAGAUAGAGAGAGAUGCAUGUGUUCUGAGGCAGAGAAAACACAGAGUGAAUAGUCCUUCUGAGGCUUGAGUCCUGAGCCCUGAGCCCUGACCCCUCCCUGAGACUGCGUGUGCGCACUUCCCCUGCUGAUACUGCUUUUCCUGGCAACUUAUUAAACUUUCAAUUAAAAAAAUAAAAAAAGGGGUAAAAAGUGCUUUUAUUUGCAAGCAAACAAAUCCAAACCCUUUGACCAAUGGUCUUUCACUUGCACUGCUAUUAGUGUUAUAACCUUCUCACUCAACAUAUUUAAUUGACACAGUUCUUGUUCUGCAAAAGAAAGAAUUCAGAAAAACGAUAACAAAUUUCAGGUCCCUUUUUUAUUCUUGAAUUCCGGCUUGUAGAGUUGUAGUAAAAAGCUCCACAAGAUAACAGAGCAUCAGUUAGCAGAAUUUAUUACAUAUUGACAUUUUAUUUAAUUAAUGGCUACAUUCUCCUUUAAUAAAGUUGGUUUAUCAAUUUUUCAUGGGCGAUUUGAUCACACGAGAUAUACAUAAUACUAUAUAUAUAUAAAUAAAUAAAUAAAAUAUAUAUAUAUAUAUAUAGAGAGAGAGAAAUGUUCCAAUCCAGAAUGUACGGUACAGCAGUAUAUGUCCCUAACUCAACUACCCUUAUAUUUCNNNNNNNNNNNNNNNNNNNNNNNNNNNNNNNNGCUGCUGUACGGCCAAGGCGGAUGUACGGUACAGCAGAUAUAUAUAUAUAUAUAUAUAUUAAAUAAAAAAGCACAUCAAAUCUGUAAUCGGUGAACCCAGAAAGCUCAGAUCAGAAAAUAUGUGCAAAGUCCACUGAAAUAUCAUUUGCUGCAACUUGAAAAAGAAAUGACAUGUAGAUCAUUCUCUUAUCUCACUACACUAAAUAAUAGGCGGAAAUUAAUGUAUACUGAACAGUGCAGAUCAUUUCUCAUACAUACUUAAAGUUCAUUUAUGGUUUGUUAUUCUUGUAUGUUGCAUAACUGGUAGUUGAAAAUGCAGCCUUAUGGAGUAAGUUUAUAACCACAAAUUUUCUAUCUUGGCUUGGAACCUGUUCCAUGAAAGACUUUCUAUUGAAGACAAUCUUCAUCUUAGAUGUAUGUACAUUAUUUCUGCUCGCCACCUCUGUACAACUAUGGAGUGCGACGAAACUAUUAGCCAUCUCUUUCUCAAUUGCCAUUUUGCUAAAGUAUUUUGGGAUUGGCUGUCAUUAUUGUUUAACACACGUUUCCCACCACUUGGCAAUGUUUGCGAUCUUUUGAGGGUUUAUUUUAAGCAUACAUUGAUGUCUUCUCUUGAGAUUUUGUACGAUAUUUGGAAGGCUAUGAAUAAGCUAAAAAGUUUGAAAAUAUUUAACCUUCAAUUGCACGUAUAAAGCAUUAGUGUUUGGGUCAUAUAUGUCACUUGAGUAAACUAUAUUCAAGGUUUUGUAAGUCUUCAUAACCCUUUCUUAUUUAUAAUCUACUUAGUCUCAGCAAUUCUCUCCUCAUUUUUCUAAAGAUUUUUAUAAUUCUAUAGCAUCCUCCAGUUUUUUUAUUG
rnacentral:lncRNA from 1 species